GCCAGCGUGGUAUAGUGGUAUAGAGCAUUGGACUAUGACUCUGGGGGCCAGGGUUCAAAUCCCUGUUCAGUCA